GAAAUGCGAUAAGUAAUGUGAAUUGCAGAAUUCAGUGAAUCAUCGAAUCUUUGAACGCAACUUGCGCUCCUUGGUAUUUCUUGGAGCAUGCCUGUUUGAGUAUCAUGAAAUCUUCAAAGUAAAUCUUUUGUUAACUCAAUUGGUUUCUACUUUGGUAUUGGAGGUCUUUGCAGCUUCACACCUGCUCCUCUUUGUUCAUUAGCUGGAUCUCAGUGUUAUGCUUGGUUCCACUCGGCGUGAUAAGUUAUCUAUCGCUGAGGACACUGUAAAAGGUGGCCAAGGUAAAUGCAGAUGAACCGCUUCUAAUAGUCCAUUGACUUGGACAAUACUUUUAUGAUCUGAUCUCAAAUCAGGUAGGACUACCCGCUGAACUUAAGC
rnacentral:misc_RNA from 1 species